rnacentral:lncRNA from 1 species
GAGUCUUGCUCUGUCACCCAGGCUGGAGUGCAUGGCACAAUCUCGGCUCACUGCAACCUCCACCUCCCGGGUUCACGCCAUUCUCCUGCCUCAGCCUCCCAAGUAGCUGGGACUACAGGCGCCCGCCACCACGCCUGGCUAAUUUUUUGUAUUUUUAGUAGAGACGGGGUUUCACCGUGUUAGCUAGGAUGGUCUCGAUCUCCUGACCUUGUGGUCCGCCCACCUCGGCCUCCCAAA